AUUGAACGCUGGCGGCAGGCCUAACACAUGCAAGUCGAGCGGAUGAAGGGAGCUUGCUCCUGGAUUCAGCGGCGGACGGGUGAGUAAUGCCUAGGAAUCUGCCUGGUAGUGGGGGAUAACGUCCGGAAACGGGCGCUAAUACCGCAUACGUCCAGAGGGUGAAAGGGGGGGAUCUUCGGACCUCACGCUAUCAGAUGAGCCUAGGUCGGAUUAGCUAGUUGGUGGGGUAAAGGCCUACCAAGGCGACGAUCCGUAACUGGUCUGAGAGGAUGAUCAGUCACACUGGAACUGAGACACGGUCCAGACUCCUACGGGAGGCAGCAGUGGGGAAUAUUGGACAAUGGGCGAAAGCCUGAUCCAGCCAUGCCGCGUGUGUGAAGAAGGUCUUCGGAUUGUAAAGCACUUUAAGUUGGGAGGAAGGGCAGUAAGUUAAUACCUUGCUGUUUUGACGUUACCAACAGAAUAAGCACCGGCUAACUUCGUG
rnacentral:rRNA from 1 species